CACCAAGACAGAAUGGUUCAUUCCUGGUUCUGUGUUCUACUCUUACUGAAUACCCUCAUCUACUGUGGUCACUCUCAAGAUCUGCCCAGGGCCUCAGUGAAGAUAGUCUCUCCUCAGGAGCCACUGUACACAGGAGACAGAAUCACUCUACAGUGUUA